UACGAAGGGGGCUAGCGUUGUUCGGAAUUACUGGGCGUAAAGCGCACGUAGGCGGAUUGUUAAGUUAGGGGUGAAAUCCCGGGGCUCAACCCCGGAACUGCCUUUAAUACUGGCAAUCUCGAGUCCGAGAGAGGUGAGUGGAACUCCGAGUGUAGAGGUGAAAUUCGUAGAUAUUCGGAGGAACACCAGUGGCGAAGGCGGCUCACUGGCUCGGUACUGACGCUGAGGUGCGAAAGCGUGGGGAGCAAACAGG
rnacentral:rRNA from 1 species